AACGCAAAUGGCGCUUCCUGGUCUCCCGGGAAGCAUGCCUGUUUGAGAACCGUAAGAACGAGUCAUCGGAACCAGUUCCGGUGGGGUUGGAUCCACAGGCGGAUGCAUUUUCUGCUCGUGGUCCGCAAAGCUUCUUCUAUCAUUCACCUCGAUUUUUUCGAGUGUGUGUGUGUGGAGGGAACGGGGGAGAGAGAGAAUGCAAUCUUCUCUCUCUCUCUUCCCCCCCCUCCCCUUGGAGGCCUUUUUUUUUUCUCCAAAGGCUUAGGAUAAAAUAUGGUAUACGUUAUGGUAUAUACAUAUGUACGACAGCCGACAAAAUCGGAGGAAGGCGCCGAGGGGGGGGAAAAGGUGGGGUUAUGUUUUCCUCGCACAGAUCGUGGUCUCAAAUCAGGCAAGAGAACCCGCUGAACUUAA
rnacentral:misc_RNA from 1 species